CAGGGACCAGACUCCUACGGGAGGCAGCAGUGAGGAAUAUUGGUCAAUGGUCGGAAGACUGAACCAGCCAUGUCGCGUGCAGGAAGAAUGCCUUAUGGGUUGUAAACUGCUUUUAUAUGGGAAGAAUAAGGCGUACGUGUACGUUGAUGACGGUACCAUAUGAAUAAGCAUCGGCUAACUCCGUGCCAGCAGCCGCGGUAAUACGGAGGAUGCGAGCGUUAUUCGGAAUCAUUGGGUUUAAAGGGUCUGUAGGCGGGCUAUUAAGUCAGGGGUGAAAGGUUUCAGCUUAACUGAGAAAUUGCCUUUGAUACUGGUAGUCUUGAAUAUCUGUGAAGUUCUUGGAAUGUGUAGUGUAGCGGUGAAAUGCUUAGAUAUUACACAGAACACCGAUUGCGAAGGCAGGGGACUAACAGACAAUUGACGCUGAGAGACGAAAGCGUGGGGAGCGAACAGGAUUAGAUACCCUGGUAGUCCACGCUGUAAACGAUGGAUACUAGCUGUUUGGCGCAAGCUGAGUGGCUAAGCGAAAGUGAUAAGUAUCCCACCUGGGGAGUACGCACGCAAGUGUGAAACUCAAAGGAAUUGACGGA
rnacentral:rRNA from 1 species